ensembl:lncRNA
AGAACAUAUAAAAUAUGUCUCAAGAGUUGCUUAUUUUCAUCUUCGAAACAUCGCAAAAAUUAGAAACUUCCUAUCAAAAACUGAUGCAGAAAAAUUAAUCCAUGCUUUCGUUACUUCUAGAUUAGAUUACUGCAAUGCUCUUAUCUCUGGUUAUCCAGACAAAUUAAUAAAUAAACUUCAAUUAGUGCUGCACACAGCUGCUAGAAUCCUAACUAGAACAAAAAAAUUUGAACACAUUACUCCUGUCCUGGCAUCCUUACAUUGGCUGCCUGUUAGGGUUAGGGCUGAUUUUAAGGUUUUACUCUUAACCUAUAAAUCAAUACAUGGACUUGCUCCUACUUACCUUGCUGAAAUGAUCCAGCCAUAUAUACCUACACGUAACCUUAGAUCGCAAGACGCAGGCCUUUUAAUUGUACCUAGAAUUUCUAAACAAACAAUUGGCGGCAGGGCCUUUUCUCAUAGAGCUCCACUCCUGUGGAAUGAUCUGCCAAUUAAGGUUAGAAAUGCAAACUCAGUGCAAACUUUCAAGUGUCUACUAAAAACUCAUCUCUACAGCACGGCUUAUAAUUAGGUGUAGCCUAGCCCGGGGGCGUGAAGGUGACCAGUAGGCUUGAUACUGUCCACCCUUGCUGUUUUGCCAGGUGGGCUCUCGUCGCCACUGGGAUGCCCUCCCUCCAAUGCCUUUCGGGGGAAGAGUCACUGGCUUGUUGUUGACUCUCUGUUGCGCACUUGUGCAAUUGGGCUGUACGCUGCUAGCAAUACUCGGCCCUCAUUCAGGGGGGUUGCGGUUGGUGGGUGUCCCUUUGGUUGAUGCCUGGCAAUGUGGUUGGAUUGAUUUCCUGCCUGUAGGGCCCUGUCCAGGGCCUCCCCCGGGUUGGGCCACAGUGUCACCAGACCCCCCCGUCUCCAAGGUGUCUCCAAAGUUCCAAGGUGUUUUAAGCUGCUAUAUUAUUGUGCUGGGGGAUAUGAUGGAUGUACUACUAACUUUUCUCAGUCCCCUCCGGUUUUAAAUUUUAGGAGGAGAUGAGGUCCUGGUCCACACCUGCGGAUUACCUGGUUUGGGGGGCCCGUUGCUGUCCCUGUCCUUGUCCACCUGGUCAUACUUCUGACCUAGUCUAAAAUCAAAUAGACUCUGGAUUUAGCCCAGAGAAAUGUAUUUAUUAUUCCAAUUAGACUCUUAAUAUCUCACCCGGCACAGCCAGAAGAGGACUGGUCACCCCUCUGAGCCUGGGUCCUCUCUAGGUUUCUUCCUAAAAUUCGACCUUCUUAGGGAGUUUUUCCUAGCCACUGAAAUUCAACACUACUGUUGUUUGCUCCUUGGGGUUUAAGGCCGGGUGUCUCUGUAAAGCACUUUGUGACAACUGCUGUUGUAAAAAGGGCUUUAUAAAUACAUUUGAUUGAUUGAUUCAUUUGUAUUUUGGGGUUUGAUCGAUUGAUUGUGUGUAGAGGUUGUUGGCUGUUCCGUGUCUGGUCUGUUGUUAGCAUUAUCUUUCGCCAUUUCUCUAGCUUAACGUGUAAACAACGAUACACUAUUCAGGUUAAAAUUACCUUCAGCUUUCAAGCAUGAAAGAAAACAAUGAAAAAAAAAUCCCCUCAUGAUGUGCAGCCACAAGGUAGGGUGUCCAUACUCUGUAUCAUCACCAGGCUGUCCUCAAUCUCUUGGAAUAAAGAAUGUUGUACCAAGGUUCAGCUGUAUGCAUAGUCAAUUGUUAAUAACACUUUAGAACAACCCUAAACAUUUCUGUAAAUAUUACACAAAUACACAAAAAGUAUCUCCUCAGGGUUUGUAAGAUCACAACCGCCCAGUCCAACUGACACAGAUGCUGUUCACUUGGUCUAAAUACAAAUAGGAUUAACAAGCGUAUACAGGUAAUUAAAGCUGAACACGGCUUAACACGGUUUAAUUCCGCUGAACCUAAACCGGAGAUU